rnacentral:rRNA from 1 species
CAAGAGCCAAUCCGUCUCUGUUGCAAUAGAGUGGAAUAAUUUUUAAGUAGAGGUGAUAAACCUAUCGAACUUAGAGAUAGCUGGUUUUUUAAGAAAAGAAUUUUAGUUCAACCCUCAGUCUCAAAUUAUAAAAAUAAUUAAAUUAGACUUAGGAGUUAUUCAAAUAAGGAACAACUUAUUUGAGACAGGAUACAACCUAGGAUAUAGGGUAAGAUAUAUUAAAUUUUUAACAAGUAGGCCUAAAAGCAGCCAUCUUUAAAAAAGCGUCAAAGCUUAGUUCUAAAAAUUUUUUAAUACCUGCAACUUCUUCUAACCCUUAUUUACUAUUAAAAAAUACCAUAACAUUAUGGAAGCUAUUAUGCUAGAACAAGUAACAAGAAAAAGAUUUUUCUCCAAAAUAUAAGCUUAAGCCACAAUUAGACAAACUACCGGCAAUUAACGUUCAUUAACUAUUUUUAGUAACACCAACAAGAAAACACUACAUUUUUAAACGUCAACCUUACACUAGAACAU